CUUAAAGGUUCUGGGUUGAGAGAUUGAUGAUUGGUUGGUGGCAUUGAUAUGACCAGUUGACUUUGCUUCUUCAGCUUCUUGAACUGGGGAGCAUUAGUGAAAAUGUACUUUUAAAGGGAUCUGGACUCUUACUUGGGACAAACCAAAUGGACGUUUUACACUAUUUUAGGCCCCAAUUUAGGUGGACAGUUUCUCAAAUAUCAUUAUGAAGAUGGGAAUGGUACUUAUCUUUGGCAGGCUAAUUGGCAUCUUGGUCCUCUGUUGCUUAAAUAUGUACCUCGGAUCAGCAAUGAUAGUACUGUGAAUGGAAAGGUCUCAUCAGCUCACAAUGGAGGAAACUAAAGUUGGCAGCCAGCAGGGUUUGCGGCUUUGGUUCAUAUUCAGGGCAAGUGUUUUGAGGCAAACCUUGAUCAAAAUGUGGCAGAAAAUGUCAAUUUAGAACUACAAAAUCAGGAGAAUUUGAAUGUGGGGGACAUCAUGGAAUGCUAUUAGGUUUUUUCCACCCAAAGUUUUAGCUGUUCUAGCUUACCAACUAUUCUAACUAAUAGACUUUGUUCCAUUUCUUCAAUACAAAAGACAUAAUGUGCUAAAGUUCUUGCCCCACUGUUGGCCCUUUUUGAGAUUCAUUGCCAUUGCCAUUGCAAAUUCACGAACAGCAUGACACAUCCUCUACCCUCUUCCAACGAGUUUCCAAAAGGUGAAAGACAUGGUGAUCUGGAGAGCAUAUGGCAUUGGCGUGACUCUGAAUAUGACCUUCGGCAAUUAUCACUCUUAAUCCCAUCGUAGCAGUUCAUCUCAACCCCAUAACCAAUGCCAUGGCAAGAGCUUCAGUCUUAGAGUUUGUUGCUCUUUCCUUGGUACUUGAAGUCUUCUCCGAUGCAAAUUUUCCAUGGUUGGUAAUGAGUUAGUACAAGGUCAGCAUAACAGAUGUUUGCACUCAUUGGGAAUGUUCAGUUUCCAUAGGACUCUUCACCCAAAUAACUCGGUGCUCAGAAGAGGAUAAAUUUUCUACAGGCACAGCCAAUGUAUUUAUUUACUCUUUAUCUCUUGUAUCAAAGAGUUGUUCUAAAAGUGAGACCAUUCCACCAACGAGUAUCAUGGUCCAAAUAAAUCUCGAACCACCACAAUUUGUUCGGCACUAUGCAAGAGAGAGGAUGAGAAAUUUGUCAUGGAGAGACUGGAUAGGGCUUAUGCAAGUGUAGAUUGGGUUAAUGCAUAUCCAAACUAUUCUCUCUGGAACCUCCCUAUUGUUAGAUCAGACCAUGGCCCUAUUAUCCUUGAUUUUGAUCUAAAGCAAUCCUUUGGAAGAAGGCCUUUCAGGUUUGAGCACAUGUGGAUGACUCACCCUUCGUGUUUAGAUGUAGUCCAGCAGGCUUGGAGCAUCCAUACUGUUGGGUCUAGAGCUUUUCAGUUGAAAAACAAGCUUUCCAAUGUGAGGAGAGACUUUAUUAAGUGGAAUAAGGAGGUCUUUGGAAAGCUGGAACAGGAGAUUCAGCUUAAACAGACACAAUUGCAAGAGAUUCAAAAUUCUAUCUUCACGGUUGAAGAUGUUAGAAAAGAGAAAAUGGUUAGAGAGGAUCUUGAAACUCUGAUGCAUGGGGAAGAAGUAAUGUGGGCAUAAAAGGCUAGACACAAUCGGGUGAUUUAUGGGGACAGAAACACGAGGUACUUCCAAACAGUUGUGAAAUAGAGAAAAGCAAGGAAUUGUAUUUUUCUGCUCAAGUCUGAGGUUGGUGAUCUGAUUACUAAGCAGAAAGGAAUUGAAGAAGUAAUGUUUCUCCACUUUAAACAAAACUUUGAAGGAACCACUGAGAUCACUAUUGAUCAGAUCCUGGAAGAAAUCCGAACCUUACCUAUCCCUCAGAUUAAUGCUCAACAGAACAUGUUUCUGAACAAACUUGCCACAACAAAAGAGAUUGAAACCACCAUCUUCCAACUUGGACCAUACAAAGCCCCUGGACCAGAUAGGAUUCCAGCUUUCUUCUAUCAGCAGUAUUGGGACAUUGUGAAGCAUGAUAUCUACAAUACAGUCCUAGCCUUCUUCCAUUCAGGUUAUAGCUUUUGGGAUAUGGAUUUGGCUGGGUUUAGAGAAAGAGAGGCUGAGAUGCAGUGGUUGGGAUUUGGGUAGAGAGAGGGGCUGAGAUCGGCGGUUGUUUGGAUUUGGGUUUAGAGAGAGAGGGGCUAGGAGCAGUGGUGAUUUGGAGCAGAUCAAGGCGAAGGAAUCUCCUUCUUCGGCUUCUCCCUACACCAACAACGAGCAUAAUAUCAAGGGGUAAACUUCAACGACAAGUGGGUCUUGAUUUGAAGAAAACGAUGAUUGGGAUCAAGGUGGUAGAAACUGCUCAGUUCAGGCAGAUCUAUCGAAGCAGAGAAGUUGGUCAAUCAUAUUUAACAUCUGUUUGGACAACCUUGAUUGCAAUGGCUCAUGCACUCUAGCUAAUGACUAAAAUUAGACCCCCAAGUGUGCUGGUAUCUGGGAUUAGAUGGUCAUCAGGUUUCUUUGUUGAGAGUAUAGCAAGAGUGAGAAGGCUCUCAUUAAGUGGCUUACUUCUUUACAAGUUAUGAAUAGCUGAUGAGUUCUUUGUGCAAUGGCCACACCUUCAAAUGUAAUAUUCAUGAGCUCACUAUGUUGGCUGUCUCAUGUAGUUGAAUGAAUUCAGCCUUCGACAUUGGCACUUUCACUUCAACCUCCUAGUUUUUGUAAAGCAGUCAACAUUUUCAUAGUGUCACUAUAGUAUUACCUAUGUUUUAUUACCCCCACUAAAACUAUGUU